AAAUAUACACACGGGAGCUUGCAGAAAGGCUGAGAGGAAGGUGUGCCCUUCGACCGUUAACCUGAUUUGGGUAAUGCCAACGUAGGGACGCUAGUAUCAUAUAGU
rnacentral:ncRNA from 2 species